CAUUAGAUAUCUUAAAAUAAGAACUGGUCUCUUAAACCAUAAUAUAAUAGAUUAAUGCCUAUUUCUAAUGA
rnacentral:tRNA from 1 species